UGUGGAGGUGUCCAGAAUGCCGUGGCCUCUUCAAAUAGCUGAUCGACGGGGGUCCUGGGUGUCGGACCCCCACCAAUCAGAUACUGACGACCUAUCCUAUCAAACCACCUUAAUUAAAAUCAUGUUCCAGGAAGCAGCAUCGGUUACUCUUCUACUUGCUGAUCUCUAUGGUUGUUAGUUUGCAUAUGACUAUACAAUGAAACAUUUUUUUCUGAAAUGCACACACCCACAUAGAAAAAACUGCAUCAUUUAAGUGGAUAAAAUCUGAUCACAAUGGGGAAGGACAAAAAUGUAAAAUAAAAA